UACGGAGGGGGCGAGCGUUAUUCGGAAUUAUUGGGCGUAAAGGGCGCGUAGGCGGCUUUCUAAGUCAAAGGUGAAAUCCCUCGGCUCAACUGAGGAACUGCCUUUGAAACUGGAAAGCUUGAGGCCGGGAGGGGGUAGCGGAAUUCCCAGUGUAGCGGUGAAAUGCGUAGAUAUUGGGAGGAACACCAGUGGCGAAGGCGGCUACCUGGACCGGUACUGACGCUGAUGCGCGAAAGCGUGGGGAGCGAUCCGG
rnacentral:rRNA from 1 species